rnacentral:tRNA from 1 species
GCCCGGGUGGUGAAACUGGUAGACACACGACACUUAAAAUGUUGUGAGCCGAGAGGCUCAUGCCGGUUCGAGUCCGGCCCUGGGCACCU